CAGUAGGAGGCUGGACUCGGAGCGGCGCGGCGCCCGGGGCUGUUUCGUGAGCUGGAGCCAGCGGCUGCCCGGGCGGCGGUGCGCGCACUCUCCAGGCUGAGACACGACUGGCUGGCACGAGUUGCUCGGCACCAGCUGAGCUGUCAACCGCGAGCGGAGGCGGGGCUCCCGACAACCAGUGUGCUGGGGCACAAUCGGCCCAGGUUGCACGCCCCCUGAACCACCCUCGCGUCUCCCCGACCCCUCUCUCGCUGGCUCAGAUGAAUGAUGACGGCAGAGGGCAGAGAGCUUAGAGGACGCCGUACCAAGCCCCGUCCCUCGCCCAUCCCAACGAAGGUCUUAGAAUACAAUCAACCAACUACAGGAAGAAUUUGUAGAGGAGGUUUUCUUGUGUGUCUGCAUCGCCCCACCCACAGCCAUGUGAGGACACAGCAUCUGUGGCAACAAGGAGCCAUCUUGGGAGCAGAGAGCAAGCUCUUCCAGACACUGAAUCUGCCAGCACCUUGAUCUUGGUCCAGCCUUCAGAACUGUGAGAAAUAAAUUUCUAUUAUUCACAAAUUA